rnacentral:piRNA from 1 species
UGAGGCCACAUUCAGAUUCUGGGUGAU